rnacentral:tRNA from 1 species
GCAGGGGUUCCGGAGUGGUCAAACGGGCAGGGCUUAAGACCCUGUAGCUUAGUGCUUUCGAGAGUUCGAGUCUCUCCCCCUGCA